AGUGACAGGUGGUGCAUGGUUGUCGUCAGCUCGUGUCGUGAGAUGUUGGGUUAAGUCCCGCAACGAGCGCAACCCCUGUCGUUAGUUGCCAGCAUUCAGUUGGGGACUCUAACGAGACUGCCAGUGACAAACUGGAGGAAGGUGGGGAUGACGUCAAAUCAUCAUGCCCCUUAUGACCUGGGCUACACACGUGCUACAAUGGUUGGUACAAAGAGAAGCGAAGCGGUGACGUGGAGCAAACCUCAUAAAGCCAAUCUCAGUUCGGAUUGUAGGCUGCAACUCGCCUACAUGAAGUUGGAAUCGCUAGUAAUCGCGAAUCAGCAUGUCGCGGUGAAUACGUUCCCGGGUCUUGUACACACCGCCCGUCACACCACGAGAGUUUACAACACCCGAAGUCAGUGGCCUAACCGCAAGGAGGGAGCUGCCUAAGGUGGGGUAGAUGAUUGGGGUGAAGUCGUAACAAGGUAUCCCUACCGGAAGGUGGGGAUGGAUCACCUCCUUUCUAUGGAGA
rnacentral:rRNA from 1 species